rnacentral:rRNA from 1 species
UACGGAGGGAGCUAGCGUUGUUCGGAAUUACUGGGCGUAAAGCGCACGUAGGCGGCGAUUCAAGUCAGAGGUGAAAGCCCGGGGCUCAACUCCGGAACUGCCUUUGAAACUAGAUUGCUAGAAUCUUGGAGAGGCGAGUGGAAUUCCGAGUGUAGAGGUGAAAUUCGUAGAUAUUCGGAAGAACACCAGUGGCGAAGGUGACUCGCUGGACAAGUAUUGACGCUGAGGUGCGAAAGCGUGGGGAGCAAACAGGG